AAUUUUGUAGUUUUUUAAAAAUAUUAAAUUGCAAAUUUAAAGAAAACUUUCGUUCAAAAUUU
rnacentral:tRNA from 1 species